rnacentral:rRNA from 1 species
UACGAAGGGGGCAAGCGUUGUUCGGAAUUAUUGGGCGUAAAGGGAGCGUAGGCGGUUCGGCAAGUCUUUAGUGAAAUCUCUGGGCUCAACCCAGAGUCUGCUGGAGAAACUGCCGGGCUGGAGUAUGGGAGAGGUGAGUGGAAUUCCCGGUGUAGCGGUGAAAUGCGCAGAGAUCGGGAGGAACACCAAUGGCGAAAGCAGGUACCUGGACUAUUACUGACACUCAGCUGCGAAAGCUAGGGGAGCAAACAGG